ACAUGCUUACAACAUAGUGUUAAUGCACCAGAUCCCAUUGGAACUCCACAGUUAAGCACACUUGGGCUAGAGUAGUAUUGAGAUGGGUGAUCGCUCGAGAAGUUCUAGUGUUUUACAUGCC
rfam:Picea glauca, whole genome shotgun sequence.